GUGCAACAUGUAGCAAGCGGCAUUGUUCAACACGCGCCAAUUUCAGUGUUGCGCAGUUCUUUUCAUAUUAUUCGUGUUUAAAACAGAACAUUUUGCCCAAAUCCUAAAGCAUUGAUACAAUUUGGUUAUUGGCACGAACCGAAAUUAAAAAAAAUGCUGAUCAAAUGUGUGAAAUUUUAUGCAGAUUUAAGCGCAACACCACAGGACGACAAAGUUCUAGAUCGUACAAGUAGACCUAAGCAUAUUUUCAGGAAUGCAGGAAAUGCAUACAAAAUUAAUGGAAGCAAUAAUCUUCAAUAAAUCGAACUAAAAAUAUCAUCAA